ensembl:lncRNA
AUAUUUUUAUUUUUUUAAGUGCUGGGGGGAAAUAUACGCACUUAACAUGUUUAUUGAGCAUUUAUCUUAACAAAAAACUGUAAACAUUUAUCCACUCUCUCUCUGUCAUUCUUGAGAUGAGGAACCAAAGCUAUGUAAAACGCAUGUUCUCAAUGAUAUUAAUAGGUCUGCAGUUUGUUGCAAUCUACUUGGCAAUUGUGUCUGUUAGGUUUGUAGCUUGAACCUAUUCGCUGGAACGUUAAGACAAUACAAUUACACUGCAAGCAAGACGCAAGUAGGCAAACUUCUUCAUGGUACUCGUGCACGGGAGAGACUGGACAGAGCGCCGUCCCUUCGCUUGACCCCAGUAGCUCUCGUCCGUCCUCCCAUACACUAUCCUUUUAUUGAGGUUACAUGAAUAUGCAUAGGUUCAUUAACAUAUAACACACGGUAUGACCUCUCAUGCUCCCAAAGUGCUGUCUAAUACACACAAAGUUUGCAGACUAUCAAGGAUCAAAACCUCUACCAAUCUACAACUAAUUACAAAACUCUAAGCAUAUAUAAGUAAAUAUUUCUAAGCAUAAAUGACAAUCAACAAUACAAAACUAACAGUGUCAGUCAUUAUUUCCGAGGUAGACUUACUGAGCCCCCUGAUGCUCCGUGAGUGAUUUGUCGCAAGCUGGGUGACGCAUUAGCCAAAAUCUUAGCAGCAUGCCCGGCUAACAUAUGCUUCACAUCAAUGUGAUAUUUUAAGCUCGGUGAAAAGAAAAUUCCUUCUUGCACAAUGUGCAUAAUACUUUGCCGGUCAACUCUUGUUAUUAUUUUAAUACUCAAAUUUCCCAUCAAGAGGGCCAAUGUGCAUUUAUCAUCUUCCAAAUUGAGUUGAUUGGUUCAGCUACCUGUCACUACUAGAUCUACUGCCCAUUUGCGCAUGUGCGAAGGUAACUCUACUUGGACAAACUGCCCGAAAUGCAUUGACAGAAACAUUUCAGGGAUUUUGAGUCCUUCUGCACUACAGAUCCAUUAAUAGCGUUAAUUUUUUUAAAUCACGUUAAUCUGUCUGUGACACUCUUUCGAGGAUGCCAAUGUUCACAUUUUGGACAGAGAGGACAGAUGGUUUGAAAGAGGAGUGAAAGAAGCCAUCUAUGUCCACUGUGAGCGACCAUCUUUGAACAGAGGCGGUGGUUUACGACACCAACUCUCUGCCAUCUAUAAUCCAGUUUUGAGAUCCCUUCCCAGACACCUUAACGCCCACUCACAUCCUGGGCCAUCUGAUCUCAGGAAUUCGCAUGAUAAGGUGGGGCCAGGUUUCACAAUGAACUCACCCGAAACUCUGGCUGAUUGGGACCCACACCCAGUUUCACACCUUGGCUCUGGCGAUUAGAGGAUCAUCAGGGGGUCCUUUUGUCCCUCUGUGGGGGGAUACUCUCACUAGGUUUAUAUCUGGGACUCUCCACCAUUUGACCUUAGAACUGAAGAAGCUUCUCGGAUGAGAGGUGAAACGUCUUCAAGUAACUUAAAGAAGUCCAGACGCUUUUCUUUGCAAGCUCCUUUGACAAUCACGUUAAUCGUGAUGACUGCUUAAUCUGCGUUAACGCAUUCAUUUUGACAGCACUAAUUCAAACACCUGUAUGCUUCAGUGCUUUGGAAUGCUCAUGCUCCGAUGGAUGUGUCAGAGAGCAACUCAGCUUUAGUAUCUCGUCAUGGGAUCGAGCCACCAAAUGUCCAAUCAGCUCUAGACAGUGGGCCAACUCUGGCCCCCGGGCCUCAUGUUUGACACCUCUGAUACAAAAUAAAACCAAAGUCAUUAAAGGCAAACCUGCACACGUGUGUAUGCAGUUCUUUCUUAGAGCGAUCAACAAGCAACCUAAUGAGUUACCAUGGAAACAGAGUUCUCAGGUAUGUGUUUACAGACAGGUGAUUGGCCUGAUUCCGGGGUUUGGACAUAACCUGUGAUCUGAGUGGAAGCAGGUUCGGGCCAAACUGACUACGUUUAAAGAGUAGAUCUCAGGUAUGUGUUUACAGACAGGUGAUUGGCCUGAUCAACAGGAGCAUCAGCCGAAAAGCUCCACCUUCCUGUUAAUUCUGACUCUGGUUAAUUGCUCCAUGGGUGCUGCUGUUCUUAUUCAGGUCAGCUUCAAUGAUUCAUUUCCCCUGGGUGCUGUCUGACAGGCUGCUUAAACAUUAAUGAGGCUGAGCAUUUGCCUUCCAGGAGCUCGGCCAAUCAAAGCGUCUCAGAGGCAGAAGUGCAACAACAGACCCAAUCACAGCAGAGCAGGAAUGAGGUCAGACUUCCUGCUGCUCCCUCUACAAUGGCGUGAUGAACCUGGAGCUCGAGCCUGCCUCUGGCAUCACAUCUGUUUAUUCACGUCACAAAGUUUGAGUUUACUGGACGUUUACAAAUAAAAAGCUGAAUCACCUGCGGACUGCACGUAGGUGCGUCUCAGGUGAGCCUCACUCUAAUAGUCCUUUUUUUUCCCCUCUCAACUCUUGUCUGGCAGGAGCAGCUGCUCGCACACCUGCUGAAUUUUCUUGGGACUUCUUCUUUUCUGCAGUCUCGCACUCUCUGCGGCUUCCUGUUUCCACUCAAACGCCUCCAUGCACAUGCACAGUGUUAACCACAGACGCAUGCUGCUCUGAAGCAGUCGACUUCCUGUGUGUUCACCUCUUGAUGAACCCUCUCUCGUGCUUUUUGUUGAGUUCUUCAUAGAAUUAUCUUUGUGAUCACUGAUGUAAGGCACAUCCAACUUGCCAUCCACUCUCACCUUAUCUGUGACCCUGAAAAGUCUCAAUGUGACAGAAAAUAAAGUUCCUGAAUAUUAAAACUACAAAAUAAACUUCACUGUCACCAGCCAUCAGAUUAAACAGGAAGUGAUUCCAUUUUAUUUUUAGUUAGUUUGUGGGUGAUCGCAGCCAAUCAGUGAAGAGGUGAUGAUGAUGAGACGAUUCCAUCCCAUAAUUCAUAGUAGCACUCCAUCAGAUUAAAAAAGAAAAAACUAUCAGCAACUCAGAUUUGUUGAUAAAUGCCUGACGCACCUGAAGCUUAUAAUUCUGUUUAUCUGAGCUUCUUUUUGGACACAAUACUGUUCACUCUCUUAGUUGUCAGAGGUCAGGGUGGGUGGAGCCUUCAGUGGGACUCACAGCUUUCUGUUUUUAUUAUCUUUAUUCAUUUCUAAUGUGGUUCUGUUAAUGUUAAUGUGUUUUAAUGUUGCGCUCUGUAAACUUUUUCUAGCGUGGACGCUGACAUGUGUUCUGUAUAAAUAAAGUUGUUC